GAUUUGCUUUCUUCUUCUCCUCGGCCUUGAUAUUCUUGGCCAAUUUGCACUACCAGCCCUUCUGAGUUCAACACCAAAGCCGUAAAAACCCUCCAUCCUGUUCAGUAGCUGGGCAUCAACCUGGGCGGAAAGCUGUGAGGUCUCUGAGUGUGUCUCCAUUUACACGUGGGUGGAGAAAAGGCACGAGGCUGACCAGGAAACAGCCUCAUGGCUUCCUCCACAUCACCAGCCUCCAGCAUCCCUGCUCCGGGUACUGAGUGGAUCACCGUUGUUGUCUUUCUUCAUAGACCAUGUGGGAUUUGCAGCCCUACCCCCACCCGCCCACCCACCCACACCCACACGGGGAUUUUUACUAAGCUACACACUAGGCUGUCCAUGGACGUUUUCGGAAAGAAUGACAAAAUAAAUGAAGCAAUUCAAAAUACCUUUCUGGCGUCUAGCAGAGGAGUGUUAUGGGGGUCACCCCCAUGUGUUUGCCCGCUUAAGUGUUUAUAGACUCUAGUUUCAAUGAACUCAGAGAAAUCUGCAGAGGUGUGGUAAUUAUUUGGAAGUUCUUUGUGCUUCAUGAGAUCCUGAAACUGACCCAGACUGUAAUCAUGGUGGGAGUGAGAGCAUAUGCCAUUGAAUCUUCCUGCCUCAGAAAGUUUCCUGACAGCCGAGUGGACUUGAGAAGCAUGAAGAUACACCACCAUGGGUAUCCGCCAGAGAUGGCGUGAUGUGGACCGAACCUUUCCCUCCUUCGGUACUGGGUACAACUGAGUAGGUCCAGGCCGUAAGACACCGCUGGGAGCAAGCCAGCAUCGGCAUUAGAUCUCACAGACAGCAGCCCUGAUGCAGUCACUGGUCUCAAACCUGACAGGGACAAAGUGCUCAGCAUCUCCACUUCCCUCACAGCACCACCUCACCGGAAGGAGGUGGUGUCUGCUGUGUUCUGGGGAGUGGGGCCGUCUUUCCCCAGGGAGGAUGGAUGAUCACCUGAUUCUACCAUUGCCCUGGGGGCUCUGAGCUCUGCCUGUCCCUUUAUGGUCCACCUUUCCAGCACACAGCCUCUGGGGAAGUAUGGGAGGCAGGUGCCCUGUGGGUCAGUCAUGAUACACCUCCUUCCUCCUCUCAGGUGCUUUCACUGGCUCCUGUUGGGACACUGGGUGUUGUUUUCUCACACAUGCCAGACCAGGCAGUCCCCAGGCCUUUUGUUCUUAAAGCCCGCAAGACUCCCAUAUACUGCACUGCUCCCUGCGCAAUUAAAUUCCAAUGACUGUCAGGAAAGGGGCCAGUAGCUCUAAGUACUUCCAGCUUCUUGGCAUUAAAAUAAAUAAUUAGAUGUUUGCUGGUUCAUUUAAAAAUCCAACUCAUGCUGUAUAAGAAGAAGUUGUCCCCAUGGGACUCCCUUAGGUCAGCCUCGCCUGACCAGGCCACUCCCCGGAAGUACAGUGAGGAAUUUGCACGUAGAUCCUUCCAGAAGCUUCUUCAAGAUUGCAGCCGAGCUGCCAGGGCUCUCCUUUCUUUUCACACACUGCAGACGGUGCCUAAGAACCUGGUACUCAGAGGUCAUGUGCUGUGCUGUCUAUCAAGUGUCCAAGGCUAUGGUGACUAUGGAGACAGAUGCCAUAGAUGAGGUGAUCCUGUACCGGUGGUGUCCUUACAGGCAUUUUAAACUCAAAUGGUCCCUGGUCUGAGAUGGUGCCUCAUGUCAUGGAGCUGUAUUGCUUAGCUCUAAAUCCACCUGGGUUGAAAGCCAUAAGUGAUGAGGAAUGCCCACUUAGACCUGAAGUCUGCUGCCCCUUAUCUUUGAUGCUUCUCUCUGUGGGCUGGAGGUCUGUGUGGGCUCUGCUUUAGCAGAUGGUAGUUCCUGAGAGGAGAUAAAUCCUUACCAAGCAAGGGUUACAAUCACUCACUUAAUAAGCCACUAAGGUUAUAAUAUGAAUCCUAAUAGGCCCCCUCCCUUUUUUUCUGGUAGGAUAACUUUAAAAGGAAAUAAAAUUUUAAUGGUUAUGUUGACUGUCUUAAACUAUGUUAAUAAACUGAAACCAAACUAU